GCCAUCAGGUAAUGCUGGGGACUCUAAAGGAACUGCCUACGCAAGUAGUGAGGAAGCGGGGAUGACGUCAAAUCAGCAGGCCCUUACGUCCAGGGCUACACGCGUGCUACAAUGGCCGAUACAGAGGGCAGCUACCUGGUGACAGGAUGCAAAUCUCCAAAGUCGGUCUCAGUUCGGAUCGGAGUCUGCAACCCGACUCCGUGAAGUUGGAUUCGCUAGUAAUCGCGCAUCAGCCAUGGCGCGGUGAAUACGUUCCCGGGCCUU
rnacentral:rRNA from 1 species